UCAGUUCGGCUGGAUAGGUGACAGAUGCUGCAUGGCUGUCGUCAGCUCGUGUCGUGAGAUGUUGGGUUAAGUCCCGCAACGAGCGCAACCCUCGCCUUUAGUUGCCAGCAUUUAGUUGGGCACUCUAAAGGAACCGCCAGUGAUAAGCCGGAGGAAGGUGGGGAUGACGUCAAGUCCUCAUGGCCCUUACGCGUUGGGCUACACACGUGCUACAAUGGCGACUACAGUGGGCAGCCACCUCGCGAGAGGGAGCUAAUCUCCAAAAGUCGUCUCAGUUCGGAUCGUUCUCUGCAACUCGAGAGCGUGAAGGCGGAAUCGCUAGUAAUCGCGGAUCAGCAUGCCGCGGUGAAUACGUUCCCAGGCCUUGUACACACCGCCCGUCACACCAUGGGAGUUGGAUUCACUCGAAGGCGUUGAGCUAACCGUAAGGAGGCAGGCGACCACAGUGGGUUUAGCGACCGGGGUGAAGUCGUAACAAGGUAGCCGUAGGGGAACCUGCGGCUGGAUCACCUCCUUA
rnacentral:rRNA from 1 species